UACGUAGGGGGCAAGCGUUGCUCGGAAUUACUGGGCGUAAAGCGCACGUAGGCGGCUUUGUAAGUAAGAGGUGAAAGCCCAGAGCUCAACUCUGGAAUUGCCUUUUAGACUGCAUCGCUUGAAUCAUGGAGAGGUCAGUGGAAUUCCGAGUGUAGAGGUGAAAUUCGUAGAUAUUCGGAAGAACACCAGUGGCGAAGGCGGCUGACUGGACAUGUAUUGACGCUGAGGUGCGAAAGCGUGGGGAGCAAACAGG
rnacentral:rRNA from 1 species